rnacentral:rRNA from 1 species
GACGAACGCUGGCGGCGUGCUUAAUGAAUGCGAGUCGAGCGAGAACCAGUUGCGUGCUUGCACAAGACUGGGGAGAGCGGCAAACGGGUGAGUAACACGUGGGUAACCUGCCCUGCAGACGGGCACAACAGCUGGAAACGGCUGCUAAUUCCCGAUGGUCUGCAGCGCCUCAAGGCGCUGCAGUAAAGGUUUAUUCCGCUGCAGGGAUGGGCCCGCGGGCCAUUAGCUUGUUGGUAGGGUAACGGCCUACCAAGGCGACGAUGGCUAGCCGGUCUGAGAGGAUGGUCGGCCACACUGGGACUGAGACAUGGUCCAGACUCCUCCGGGAGUUAGCAUCAGGGAAUCUUGCGCAAUGGGCGAAAGCCUGACGCAGCGACGCCGCGUGAGGGAUGAAGGUCUGCGGAUCGUAAACCUCUGUAAGCAGGGACGAAUGCCCGGUUUUGCCGGGAGUGACGGUACCUGCAGAGUAAGCUCCGGCUAACUACG